UACGUAGGGUGCAAGCGUUGUCCGGAAUUAUUGGGCGUAAAGAGCUCGUAGGCGGUCGGGUAAGUCUGUCGUGAAAUCUCCGAGCCCAACUCGGAAACUGCGUCGGAUACUAUUCGGCUAGAGGAAUGGAGGGGAGACUGGAAUUCUCGGUGUAGCAGUGAAAUGCGUAGAUAUCGAGAGGAACACCAGUGGCGAAGGCGAGUCUCUGGACAUUUCCUGACGCUGAGGCACGAAAGCCAGGGGAGCAAACGGG
rnacentral:rRNA from 1 species